rnacentral:rRNA from 1 species
GAUGAACGCUGGCGGCGUGCCUAAUACAUGCAAGUCGAACGAAAGGGCGCAAAGCUUGCUUCUCUGUCGUUAGCGGAACACGGGUGAGUAACACGUGGGUACCCUCCCUCUCAGACUGGUAUACCUGCGGGAAACCGUCUCUAAUCGCGGAUAAUAUUUUGAUCCGCAUUGUUCAGGAGAGAAAGACCGUCUUGCUGUGACUUAUAGGUGUAUCCGCUCUGCAUUAGGUAGUUGGUGAGGUAACGGCUUACCAAGGCGACGAUGCAUGGCCGAGGUGAGCGGGUGAUGGGCCACACUGGAACUGAGACACGGUCCAGACUCCGACGGGAGGCAGCAGUAGGGAAUCGUCGGAGAUGUGGGAAAUCCUGACGGAGCAACGCCGGGUGAGUGAAGAAGGUCUGCGUAUCGGAAAACGCUGUUAGUAGGGAAGAACAUAUGUGUAAGUAACUGUGCACAUCGUGACGGUACCUAAUCAGAAAGCCACGGCUAACUACGUG